CUAGGAGCAGCUAACAAGAAUCCUAAUACAGGAGUGUUUAUGGUUGGGUUGAGACACAUUCAGUAGCUGAGUGAUUGACAGCAAGAGGAGCAAGACAUGAGGUAGAUUUGUAUUAUAUUCUCAGUGAAACGGGAUAGCUUUAGAAGCUUUUUAAUAAAAAGGAUAUAUGAUCUAAAUUUCCUACUGGUUAAUAAUUAUCAAAUAUAUGGCAAUGCUGGACUUUAGCUGAUCAUCGUGCUUCUGGAAAACAACAAAAAUUGAGAUAUCUGUUCACCACUUUGUGUGUCCAAGGACCACCUACUUUUUACAUGUGACAAGAACUACCCACCUCCACUCUUCAGGGAUAGAACAUGCUGAAGAAAAGAGUUGCAAUGAGAAAAUAUAUGGGAACAAAAUACCUAUGCAAUGCAGAAGUCUGCAUAACUGAACCACUCAGAGGAAAAAGGUUUCCCUCCCAGGCUGGAGUACAAUGGCGCGACCUCGGCUCACUGCAACUUCCACCUCCCAGUUCAAGCAAUUCUCCCACCUCAGCUUCCUUAGUAGCUGGGAUUACAAGUGCCUGACACCAGGCCAAGCUAUUUUUGUAUUUUUAGUAGAGACGGGGUUUCACCAUUUUGACCAGGCUGGUCUCAAACUCCUGACCUCAGUCCAUCGGUCCACCUCGGCCUCCCAAAGUGCUGGGAUUGCAGGCAUGAGCCACCGCUCCUGGCCUCAAGUUUAAUUCUUAAGUGAGUCAAUCAGUUAUAGUUCUGUUCAAAGCUUUCAGUGCACCUAAAAUUUCAUCCAACAUCUAUUAUCUUUCAUCAUAUGCUAAAACAGCUUGAAGAUGUAUAUGAUUUUAUAAAAAAUAAUCUAUAAAACAAAACAACCAAAUUAAGGGUUUACAUUUUAAAGCACCAAUAUUCACCUAUAGUUGGUGAAUGUACAGUUAGAAUGAAAAAAAAUAGAAUUUUGGUGAAUUCUGAAAUGGUUCCACCCUAUCCAAACAAGUUGUAUUAAUGCAUGUAUACAUUUCUUAAUAGAUAAAGUACUCGAAUUGCUACAAAUACAGAAGCUUACAAGUUUCCAGUGAGAAUAGGCUCUGUCAAAAACUUUGCUGUAUAUUGAUUAAUUUUGUUACUAUAAAACAAAAAGAUAUCUUUCAAUUGAAAAAUAUCAAAUGCAAAGUUUUGAAUUAUAAAAGCAGCUUCAAGCAAAUAAUAAUUUUUACCCAGCAUCAAAAUUUACAUAUUUAAAGGGCAUAAGCAAGCAUUGGGCACAGAUAAAGCAUUCUUUUCCCGGAGGAUCCCAAAACCAACAGACGGAGCAACAAAAACUCAUUUUCCUCCUAUAUUAACAUGUAUUUCAAUUUUGGAUUAAGAAGUUUUGACAAUGUGUGCAGAAACACAAUUCACAAAAGGAAACUAUUAUGGUUUUGGAGACUUUUUCUUUUAUAUACUGUUGAUUGCAUUGAGAAAAAAAUUAUUUAUGGGCUUCUCCCUAUUUUCAAGCCAGCCAGCUAUCCUAAAUUCAUAUGUUUUAUUUUAAAUUAUAACAAAUCAAGACCAUGAUAUUAUCGUCUGCUCCAGACAACAGCCUUUCCCUAGUUUAUACCAUUAACAUUUUAUUAAUGGUAUUUAUAUUUGGUAUUAGUAGGAGGUCAUUAUAAUUUUACAGGAAUGUCUAAUUGAGAUAAUUAAUUCACUCUUUUAUGUUAAUACUUUUCUACCUAGCAUCACAUAAGAUAAUGGAGGUGUGAUUUUUUUCAGUAAUUUUUGCUAGUUUAAUAAAUGACUUAAUCCUCCUCAUCCAUAUUCAUUUUGAAAUUAUACUUAGUAUUUUAAUAUAAAAGAAUAAGAUAGCAUAAUACUGAAUCUUCUAUGCAUUACAUUUCAUAUUGCCAUUUCAGGACACCUCCUACAUCUGAGGAAAUAUGCAUUGAUCUUGCAGUACUUUUCUCCUCCAAAUAAAAGUCAGUAUGAUAACAACU
rnacentral:lncRNA from 1 species